AGAGGGAAUGUAACAUCCUGGCCCUUUGGAUUCUUUUCUUUUCCCUUCUCUUUGUUUCCCCUGCUUUCAUGCAUCCACAACACUGAGUAACCUUCCCUACCCCCACGACGUCGUUUGAGGUGAGUUUCAUCUUUCCACACAUAUUUUAUCUUUCCAACGGUUUUUCAAUUCAGUUUCUGCACUUCCGAAGAUUCCUCCACCCAAUCUCUUUUAUCUCCAUGUCUUGGCAGUUUGAAGUUUCAACUUCCUUUCCGCUUUUUAGUUCUCUCCUUUAUUUCAUUCCCCGUCCAUCACUCAGAUCAUUUUCUCUAUCCAUAUCUCUCUUGCUCUCGAUCUUCUCUCUCUCUGACUGAGUUUCUCCCGUUCACUGCAACCGCUAGUUAGUCUUCAUGAUCUAUAAGAACCUGCUUCACCACCCUAAACCAAACCAUGCAUACAGCCACCCUCCCUACCCCUUCACGUCACAGCCAUGCACCAUGGUGGGAAACUUGUACCCCCCACUGCCCAGCCCCUCGAGAAAAUUUCUACCACCGUGUCCCCUGCCAUAACGACAACGCCGCCCCCAUCUCGCAGCGCAACAACUCCGAAGGGAAACCAACUUGCCGAGUUCUCUCCUGCACGACAGAAGAUGCAAGCCUACAAUCCAUAAUCCUCCACCGUGCUGCCCCUGCACCUCUAGCCUCACCACUAACCGAGCAUUAGCACCCCAAAGCCGAGCCAACAACCUCUGUUUUUAUGCAAGAAAACAGAGCAGCUGUUGUGCUUUCAGCCUCUUGCGCGUCGGAAGCCUAACCUCGCCGUCAUCACCUUGACGUCGUCUCCUUUUGCAUGGAAGGUUCCAUCCAGCACUGCGCAUUUACCCCGUUGUUUUUCCUCUGGCUCCACCACCACGCAAGUAAGGGCCGCCGUCGCUGACCUUGUUUCCGCCUGGAACUCUAGCAGCAGCACCACCGCCGGGCCUUUCCAAAACACCAACAACAUCUGUUUCUUAACAAGAAAACAGAGCACCUGCUUUCCCCACCGUUGGUCACAAACUAACUGUGGAUCUCAAACCUGUUAGCCGCCAUUCUUAGCCGAGCUUCGAAGCCCCAUAAACUCAACCUCCGUCGAUUAGUGCCGCUGCUUCUUCUUCUUUCAUUGGCCGUUUGUCACUGUCGACCCACCCACUGCCAGUUUUCAGUUGCUAUCCUUCUUCAUCUCUGUGAUUAUUGAUGUUCGUUUCGCACUUCUGUGAGGAAAUUCAAAGAGGUUAAGAAGUACAGGUGAGCGGGGUUCCUAUGCUAGAUUUGCAUAAAAAAAAUGAUUUGAGAUGAUUGAAUGUUUCAGCUGAUGAUCAAGAUUCGAAAGCAUGUAUAAGGCUAAGUGAUCAAAGUGGAUUAAGUACAAAGAUGGUACUUUGGUUAUUAGAGAAUUUUAUUCAGUAGUUUUGUUUUGCUUUGUCAACUUGGUAUUUUGGAAAGUUGAUAUUUAUUUUGAGGUUUUGUAGUCUUUAGAAUGAAUAAGAGUAGUUGAUUUGAAACAA